CCCGUCUCGCGACGGGCCGGGAUGUGACCCUGGCCGGCCGACGCCGACGGCGUCGGUCGGGGGAGGCGACGGUCGAGGCCGAUCGCACCGAUCCGCGGUGCGACCGGGCCCGACCGCUGCCGAUCGGGUUGAACCACCAA
rnacentral:ncRNA from 1 species